rnacentral:rRNA from 1 species
UACGUAGGGACCGAGCGUUGUCCGGAAUUACUGGGCGUAAAGCGCGCGCAGGCGGCUAUCCAAGUCAGUGGUGAAAGCCCGGAGCUUAACUCCGGAACUGCCAUUGAAACUGUUUAGCUUGAGGACGAGAGAGGUGAGUGGAAUUCCCAGUGUAGAGGUGAAAUUCGUAGAUAUUAUCAAGAACACCGAUUGCGAAGGCAGCUUACUAAGGAGUUACUGACACUGAGGCACGAAAGCGUGGGGAUCAAACAGG